rnacentral:rRNA from 1 species
GAGUUUGAUCAUGGCUCAGAGCGAACGCUGGCGGCAUGCUUAACACAUGCAAGUCGCACGGUCAGCAAUGGCAGUGGCGGACGGGUGAGUAACACGUAGGAAUCUAUCUCUGGGUGGGGGACAACAGUGGGAAACUACUGCUAAUACCGCAUGAUACCUGAGGGUCAAAGGCGUAAGUCGCCUGGAGAGGAGCCUGCGUCUGAUUAGCUUGUUGGUGGGUAAAGGCCUACCAAGGCUACGAUCAGUAGCUGGUCUGAGAGGAUGAUCAGCCACAUUGGGACUGAGACACGGCCCAAACUCCUACGGGAGGCAGCAGUGGGGAAUAUUGGACAAUGGGCGAAAGCCUGAUCCAGCAAUGCCGCGUGUGUGAAGAAGGUCUUCGGAUUGUAAAGCACUUUUGGCAGGGACGAUGAUGACGGUACCUGCAGAAUAAGCCCCGGCUAACUUCGUGCCAGCAGCCGCAGU